UCUCCAGACUCCUACGGGAGGCAGCAGUGGGGAAUAUUGCACAAUGGGGGAAACCCUGAUGCAGCAACGCCGCGUGAGUGAAGAAGUAUUUCGGUAUGUAAAGCUCUAUCAGCAGGGAAGAGAAUGACGGUACCUGACUAAGAAGCCCCGGCUAACUACGUGCCAGCAGCCGCGGUAAUACGUAGGGGGCGAGCGUUAUCCGGAUUUACUGGGUGUAAAGGGAGCGUAGACGGUUCUGCAAGUCUGAAGUGAAAGCCCGGGGCUUAACCGCGGAACGGCUUUGGAAACUGUGGAACUGGAGUGCUGGAGAGGCAAGCGGAAUUCCUAGUGUAGCGGUGAAAUGCGUAGAUAUUAGGAGGAACACCAGUGGCGAAGGCGGCUUGCUGGACAGUAACUGACGUUGAGGCUCGAAGGCGUGGGGAGCAAACAGGAUUAGAUACCCUAGUAC
rnacentral:rRNA from 1 species